AUGUUUCCCACUAUCCUCUUAAUGGGAAUUAAUGGAAUUCUUAAUGGGAAUUCCUCUUAUAUGGGAAUUAUUAUGGCAGCCUUAAUGAAAAUGUCAACAAGGUUUUUGCAUAACAUCUACAUCUCCAUGUUUUCUUUCUCUUUUUGCUUCCUGGUGAGCAGGAGCAGGCAGAAAUGAAGGAAGGAAAGAAGAUGAAAAUACACCAAAGAAAGAAGUGUCUUAACACAUUCCCCCCAAAGAACAGGUAGCAUUCCCUCAAUUAGUCCAGGCAGACUUCAUCUACUCGAUGGUAGGUCCAAAUUCAGGUCCUGGUUUGUGUGGGAUACUGCAGAAUGUUCUACAUUUUUGUAAUUGAUGUAAUUUUCUUUGGGUUGGGGUGAGUUAAUUAAACAUUACUGCAACAUUUACUGGUGUCUCUUUGGUUUCUGAAAACACUUAAUUCUGUGCUCCUGUCUGUUGAUCUCCUGCCAAAACUCUCUUGCCUUCUGCAUGCUUCCUGUUGCUGAGUUUCUUUUGGGGCUACUUUCAGUAACCUGGAGUGAUUCUGUCAGCAUGUUGCUCGUCAUGCUUACACUACAGAAGAAAAAACUGUCACAGUUCAAGAGAAUGCUCUUCAAUGCCACUGGAAAGGC
rnacentral:lncRNA from 1 species